rnacentral:rRNA from 1 species
ACGCUCGACACCUACGGAAGGCAGCAGUGGGGAAUAUUGCACAAUGGGGGAAACCCUGAUGCAGCAACGCCGCGUGAGUGAAGAAGUAUUUCGGUAUGUAAAGCUCUAUCAGCAGGGAAGAUAAUGACGGUACCUGACUAAGAAGCUCCGGCUAAAUACGUGCCAACAGCCGCGGUAAUCUGAGCGGGCUGGCAAGGC